GGGGAUUUAGCUCAGUGGUAGAGCGCUUGCCUAGCAAGCACAAGGCCCUGUCCCCAGCUCCAAAAAAAAAAAAAAAAUUUCAAAUGUUAUUCCCUU
rnacentral:tRNA from 1 species